UCUUGUACGAAGGAGAAAGACACUUUACCUGUGCUUCGACUUUCUUUGGAGAGAAGUGGUGUGCGACAACAUAUAACUAUGAUGAGGAUGAAGAAUGGGGAGAGUGCUUAGAGGAAGACUUAGAAGCCAAGAAGUAAGAGACAAGGAAAGAGCGUCCACAGUUCACACCAGCACAAAAUUGACUUCUUAGCACUUACAGCUCAAGCAAGGAAAACCACUUUCUAGUUCUCGUUUUGCACCUAUCUAUGUCAUUAGAGUCUUUAAAUAGGAGGUUAGCAUAUGUAGUUUUUACAUGCAGGAAAUCAUCAAAUAAACACGUUCGUAUUCUAGUGCUGAA